rnacentral:tRNA from 1 species
GCGGAAGUGGUGGAAUUGGUAGACGCGCUAGGUUCAGGACCUAGUGGGUGCAAACCUGUGGGGGUUCGAGUCCCCCCUUCCGCA